rnacentral:piRNA from 1 species
UGUGACGUGAAAGCGUUGCAAUGAGAGCUU